UCCUGUCUCCUAAACCUCAUUCCUUGCUGCCUCUAAUAUUUGUUUAGAAGCAAAUGACACUCUCAUUUACUUACGUGCCUGUGUAGGAUAGUCUCCAUUUAUCAAGAAAAUCAGAAUUAUACAAGUCAAAAGAAGGAUUUUCUUCUCAAACCAGGCCUAAUCUUAUACAUUUGUAAAGUAAUAUAAAUAUACACAGAGAAAAUACUGUGAUUUUAGACAGAUAGCUGGGGGAGGGAGCCCCAGUGGGUGGAAGCUAUUUUCUUGGAGCCUGUCAUAUCAGCACAGAUGAUAAUGAUAAAUAGAUAUAUGUACAGAUGUUUUUGUUCCAUGAUUUUUCUUGUAUAUAGAAUUUAAAAUCUGCUUCCAAAUGAAAAACCCAAGAUUUUUCAAAAUUUAAGUAUGUGAAUGUGUCCAGGGCACACCCAUAUUUAAAAAUUUUAUAUAUCCUAACUUGAUUUAAGUUUUAAGUAUGUGAUACAAAGGAACAAUCAUAUUUAUCAUUUUGGAUUUUGCUAGAUCUCAAAGAGACCCACACCUUGGGUGUGGUCAGUGCCAAAUGCCACAGUUUCAAGUUUUGUUGGAGGUGGUUUUUGUGUCUGACUGAAAGUGAGAAAGGGUGACUUUCUUUGGGAGAAGGGAGUUCAAAGGAUUUGUCUUAGCCACUGGAUCAAGAACAUCCAGGAAAACUGUGAUCUCCAAAUCCUGCCAGCAGAGUAGGCAGGAGCAGUUAACCGUAUUCCUCGUUUUGAAGGUGGGAAGACAUGAAGACUUUGAAAAAAAAAAACCCAUAAAACUUUAUAUAGUAGGAAUAAAAAUAUGAUCCUGUCCUUUUUUGACCCAUGAAACUAGAGAAUAGUAGAAGCUACAUGCUGAAUGUUUUUGUUUUCCUAGCCAUAGGCACUGACAUGAUGUCAAAAACCUGAAAUCAUAGGACUCCUGGCACUGAGAGUUCAAAACAAAGUUCAUUCAGCAGUUACCAGGUUUUGAAUAAACUGUGCAAGCCACAUUAUUUCUACUGCUCAGAGAAAGACAUUUAGUUUACCUGUGGCUCUUGCUUUAAUAUCAAAGUGUUUUACUUGCGCUUGUGAAAAUGAGGUGGCCUGGCCCAGAGCUCAUUACAGUGGACAUUCUAGGUCCCCUCACAUUCACCUCAGUGGGCCUGGGGUGAAACAUGCAUAGAAGGAGCACUAGGAAACCUUGUGACCAGGUCAUAUACACACCCCUCCCAGGACAAAGAGAUCUGCAGUGCUACCUGGGGAGCACUCUAAGUACCAGUCGGACCCUUGCAGAUCUGAAACAGCCAGGCUCUGAGAUUUCACAGUCACCCUGUUUACCCUAAACGGGGGUACCCAAGCAUACGGGGCUAUUCAGCCUGAUGUCUCUAGGAGUGGAUACUUUCUUCUUCAAGGACUGGUGGGGAAUAGUGGGCGGGCUCAGACCUACAGAAAAACAUGGGUUCCAUACCUUGGUCACUCUCCAGGUGUAAGUGGUUGGUGAAAGAGGUACACACAUUCUUUUGGGGCAUAAGAAACCACUCUGUACUCUACAGCCAGAAUGGCCCUUGCUCCAAAAGAGUAAGGGGCAAGGUGGGAGCUGGAUCUGAAGGCUGCUGUAUAAGCACUAGUGCUGAUACAAACUCACUCCUGCUGCCUUUAGGUUGCUGGGGCCAGGCUGGCAACACUGAUAACCUCUUGGUUUGCUCAGAAAAAGGAUGUUGUAAAUUCAGUGUGGCCUACUAGACAUGGCCCCCCAAAAUACCCAUCCCAGGAGGUUUCAAAGGUAGUCUGGUUUAAUAAGAUGUAGCUAUGUUUUAAAAAGUCCUCUUCAGGCUGGAAAAAAAAAAAGGAAGGAAAAAUGGCAUUUGUUUUACCUUGGAGACAUGAAGAGUUUAGGUUCUGAAGUCGAUAGAUAGUCUGUGCUCCAAUUUUGGCUUCCUUGCUAGUUACUUUUAUAUCAUUAAAGUAGCUUCCUAAACACCUGUACCUUUAUUCAAUUACAAUAAAAACUAUAUGUACUUCAUAAGGUGCUUAUUCAAUACAUACACACACACACUUAAGUGGCCUCUGUUAAGUGAAUGUCACAUAGUAAGUGGGCAAUGUUUACAUUUUUGUUGCUUUUGGUAAAUUUUAUCUCACAGUCUGUGGCUUGUCUUUAUAUUCACUUCAUCUCUUUCAAGAGCAGAAGUUUUAAAUUUUGGUGAAGUCCAGUUUGUCAGUGUGUCCUUUUAUAGAUCAGGCAUUUGGUAUUACAUCUAACAGAUUUUUUUUAUAAUUCAGGGUGACAUAGAUUUUCUCCUAUGUUCAGGUAUCUGGUCCUUGUUUUCUGUAUUAUGUUUAGGUCUAUGAUUUAUUCUGGAGUUUUUUUUUUGUAUGUGGUACAAGAUAUGGGUGGAUAUUGAUACUUUUGCAUAUUUUAAUUCAGUUGUUCCUGAAACUUUUGUUGAAAACUUCUUUUUGCAUUAAAUUGCCUUUGCAGUUUUGUCAAAAAUCAUUGUAUAUAGGUGUCCUUCUAUCUGCUCCAUUCUUCUGCUUACUAGUUUUUGUGCACAGCCAUGUUGUGUUUAUUACUAUAGCUUCAUACUACGUCUUGAAAGCAGAUAAUGUUGGCCAUUGAGCUUCCUGCUGCGUUCCUCUUUUUUACUAUUCUGGGUAUAUUGCAUUUUCAUAUGAAUUUUUGAGUCAGUUUGUGAAUUCCUUCCAAGAAGGACUUACCUUCAAAACAUAUAAGGCACGGAGAGCUCACUAGGAGAGUGCCUGCGUAGCAUGCAUGAGCCUCUGGGUUUGAUUCCUAGCACAGAAACAAAAAAGUGUUCCAAAACAUAUAAAGUAACUCUACCCAUGAUCUAUAAAGAACUCUCAAAUUCAACAGUAAGAAAGUGAACAACCCCAGUUUUAAAAGUGGGCAAAAGAGUUGACCAGACAACCUAGUAAAGAAGAAAUAAAAAUGGUAAAUGAACACAUGACAAGCUGGUUGACAUCAUAUGAAGCAUACAUUUCACAACUACAAUGAAGCAUCACCACAUACCUGUGAAAACUGCUAAAAUUAAAGACUGAACAUGCAAAGUAUUGGUGAUUCUGGAGAGCAGCUAUCAUGAACUGUUGGUGGAUAGGAAUAUAAAACGAGGAAGACUACCUUGGAAAAGAAUUUGGCAGUUUCUUGAAAAGUUAAACAUUGCUAGAGGUGGUGUGUGUAAGCCCACCUACUAGGGAGGUCAGGGGAGGAGGAUCACAAGUUUGAGGCCAGCCUCAGCAAUUUAGCAAGACCCUGUCUCAAAACAAAUAGGGCUGGGGAUGCAGCUCAGUGGUAAAGCACCCUUGGGCUCAGUUCAAUCCUCAGUAAAACACACACACACACACACACACACACACACACACACACACACGGUAAACAUACCAUCAUAUGGCCCAUCCAAUCCACUGCUAGGCAACUAUUCUAGUCCAAGAGAAAUCAAACCAUCUAUCUGAGGGCCAUGAGGGGGCAUGGAGAGGCAUAGGAAUGGUGGGUGUGUUCAUUAUUUUAUUUGCUUUUCAUCGUGUCCCUCGAAGCCAGCUAUCACAGCAUCAACCAAAUAGUGCCAAGCUGCCUGCAACGAAGGUACGAGGCGUGCACUGCUGUAGUGGACCAGCCGCUGUGGCUGUCCGUGACCACGGUCUUUCCCUGGCUAUAAAUGAACUAUGCUGAAAACCACACCCUUGUGUCAUGUUGUUCUGGUGCGACAUGGAUUCAAGGCUCUGAGGAGGACCAACCUAAUUACUGGAAAUGUUCUCGCUGUGCAAAGAAUGUUCUGCACUCCUGCCCCUGCGCUUCCUCCGGCUGGAGCCUCUGCUGCCUCAGUCACCCCAGGUCACAGCUGCUUUGGCGAGAACCAAGUGGGUGGAGAGGGAAGAAACCUCAUCAUGCCAUAUUCAGGAUGGUCUAGUUUUUCCUCCUCUGACUCUUUCCUUAGGAAGAAAGAUGAGCACUCUAACAGGACUAAAUACCUUCUAUUGCUCUGUCUAGAGUAGGAAACCGAAAUUCCUAUGGGUACCAUAUUUUCCCCGCAAAGCUCUCUUACUUGGUCUGUUACUCAGAUCUCUUUGUGACAGGAGGGAGGAAUCCGAGGGAUAGACUGAGGAUUCACUGGUUUUGAAAGUCCCAGAUAAGCAAUGGAGAGGAAUAAUUUGUGCAUGCUGGUCCUGCUUAGUGUCCUCUGAUGUCUAUGCUGGUAUUGAGGGGGGACUCUUAGGAGGUAAAAUGGUCGUGAAGAUGCCAAGGACUUCAAGGGCUUGCUUUUGCUCCAUGGUUUCCUUAAGCAGAGAAAUUCAGGGCAAGGAGAUUAUUUCUACUACUUAAAAAUUCAACCCAGAGGAUGUAGAUGUGCUGAUGUUGCUGCAAUCUUGUUUCAUCCAGUUAUUGUCACGAGGAGAGUCAUCACCAAGCACUAUUCCCUUCACAGAGCAAACUGUUGCUAGAUUCACACUAACAAAGGGGGGUUUCAUUCUAUUUCUCUUUCCUAGAAGAGAAUAUGAAAUAAUUCCAAGAUACCGAAAAAAAUGGUACUUAAUGUGUUUUGACUAUGUAGAGGAAACACUUAAACAACAAACAAACGGCAAAUCACAUUUUGAAACUGAAUACUGAUCGUGCCGUGAGUCCAUCUUGGUAAAUCUGCCUUUAUGGAAGAAAAAGCUCUCCCGUUUGGUUGAUAUCUAGGUCAUGGUUCCUAAGAACUGAUACAAUGUUCAAGGCACUUGCAACUUUUUUUUCCCCUGAAGAGGAAUUUUCAGACAUUUCUGUAGACCCCCACGCAGUUGCCGUGGCUGUGGGACAGAAGGUGGAUCCAGGGAGCUUGGUCCCCGCAGCAGCAAAGGCUGUGUGGAAAGCAGGAGAAUGGUAAAAUGGGUGUCACGAGGAAGGAAUAUGACAGUUACCGUGACAGCACUGCAGAAAUGCAAGCUCUUUAUUUCUUGCUCAAUCAUCUUCUGCAACCGAGACAUGAACACAGUCCCAGACAAGGUGGCAAUGAAGUCAUGUCCCUCUGCACACCACCCGGCCAUCCGACCCACCCCUUUGGCCCCAGAUGUUUUAUUCACCUGGAUCAGGCCAGUUUUCUUCUGAAGUUAUAGUGACCCCCACACUUAUAAUCUUAAAGGGGGAAAAAAACCACUCUCUGUCUGUUGGUCAAAACUUAAACAAGGAAUAAAUAGUAAAAUGCAAUUUUUGUCCAGUUUCCUUUUGGAAAUUCAGAUGCUCAUUCAUUUUAUUGAACAGCCAAACAGAGCUGUGUAAUUUAUGGUUCCAGUGAACGUACCAAUUUAGAAAUGGCUAUUAUAUCAUCGAUAUAGUUGUUUAGCUGGGCAAAAUCUGCCUUAAAAGAGGAGUAUCCUUAGGAUAAAACAAACAAACAAACAACCUUUUCCUUUUCUGCACUGGAAUAUGAUUAACAUUAAACUUGUUGAUGAGGCAGCAGAUUUAUAAUCCAGGUGGUCAGAAAUCUAUUUUUUAAUUUCUGAAAGGACAUAAACGAGCAGCUGCACAGCAGACUUCCUUCCGCCUGCCAUACGUGUGUGCCAUAGUCAGGCUCCAGAGGCCCUGCAGGUCUGUCCUGGGGGGCUGCAGAAGGUGGCUGUCAUGUUAACAGUGGCUCUAAGCUGUCUGCAGCAGGUGUAUUAGGGGCCUCCUUUUUUUCCUGGUAAACAUGUUGUUUGUCCUACGUCUUGAUCCAUCUUAGAUUCACUUCAAAGGUCAGAAAGAAGGGCUAAGAGUGUAGCUCAGUGGCAGCAGAGGUUCCAUCCCCAGCAGCGCGCCACACACACACACACACACACACACACACACACACACACACACGGGAGAAGUAGUGGCCACAGUUCCAUCUCUGCUGUUCUUGGCACUAAAUUUACGGAUGAUUCCAGAUUUUAGGGGUGAGUAAAUGGAGGAGGAAAUUGUUAAACCCAGCUCCAAAGACCAUUUCUCCACAAUCCAUUAAUGUGCUGGUGAGAUGGUUUGUGAUGAAGAAGGGGAAUUGUUUUGUGAAUAAAAAUCCCCCACCUAGAACAACA